CACCAAUCAAGCCUGGCUUGGUAUUGGGCCCCGGGGGUGACCCGGGCCUCAAAGUCUUCGGCUGGAAAGCUCUGAUCUCAGCGUCGUGGUUAAACAUUCGCGAAGAACAGAGUGAUCUGUGCCGUUAAACUCAUCAAA
rnacentral:misc_RNA from 1 species